rnacentral:rRNA from 1 species
CUUAAGCAUAUCAAUAAGCGGAGGAAAAGAAACCAACAGGGAUUGCCCUAGUAACGGCGAGUGAAGCGGCAACAGCUCAAAUUUGAAAUCUGGCGCAAGCCCGAGUUGUAAUUUGUAGAGGAUGCUUCUAGGUAGCGACCGGUCUAAGUUCCUUGGAACAGGACGUCAUAGAGGGUGAGAAUCCCGUAUGUGACCGGCCCGCACCUUCUACGUAGCUCCUUCGACGAGUCGAGUUGUUUGGGAAUGCAGCUCUAAAUGGGAGGUAAAUUUCUUCUAAAGCUAAAUACCGGCCAGAGACCGAUAGCGCACAAGUAGAGUGAUCGAAAGAUGAAAAGCACUUUGGAAAGAGAGUUAAAAAGCACGUGAAAUUGUUGAAAGGGAAGCGCUCACAACCAGACUUCUGGGCGGUGUUCCGCCGGUCUUCUGACCGGUCUACUCACCGUCCCGAGGCCAACAUCAUCUGGGACCGCCGGAUAAGACCUCAGGAAUGUAGCUCCCCUCGGGGAGUGUUAUAGCCUGUGGUGAUGCGGCGCGUCUCGGGUGAGGUCCGCGCUUCGGCAAGGAUGUUGGCGUAAUGGUUGUCAGCGGCCCGUCUUGAAACACGGACCAAGGAGUCUAACAUCUAUGCGAGUGUUCGGGUGUCAAACCCCUACGCGUAAUGAAAGUGAACGGAGGUGGGAAGGGUAACCUGCACCAUCGACCGAUCCUGAUGUCCUCGGAUGGAUUUGAGUAAGAGCAUAGCUGUUGGGACCCGAAAGAUGGUGAACUAUGCCUGAAUAGGGUGAAGCCAGAGGAAACUCUGGUGGAGGCUCGCAGCGGUUCUGACGUGCAAAUCGAUCGUCAAAUUUGGGUAUAGGGGCGAAAGACUAAUCGAACCAU